UAAAAUGACAUCACAGUCACUGGAUGACUGGAAGAGAACAUGUGUCUCACAUUUUCAGUUACCAAUCUGUGAAGAUAUUGGCAAAAUGAACAGGAAGAUGGAAGCGAUUAUCUGCUCAUCUAAUACUGACUAAAGCUUGCCUCCAUCCCAUAUCACAUCUCACCACCAGCACAAAAAUCUUUUCAACCUGAAACAGAUUCCUAAAUGUUGGAUAAGAAGAGACCUUAUAAAUGGAUACUUCACAACUUUCAUAUUCCUUCAUAUUAUAUUCCUGGAGAUGCUUUAUGACUCUUCAGUUUCCAACAACACUGGGCAUAAACUUCUUGAAAGAAUGAAAUGGCUACCAACAACAAUCUCAAGGUUCUCAACAUCAUUCAUUUUGAAGAUGAGGGUCAGCCUCUACUCCCCUCCCCUCCGGAAUGUAUGGUGUGAUAACAUGGUGCUGCUCAGGUGAAGGAUCUCUUGUGAUUUCCGGUUUUGUGCUUGUUUAUAAAGA